rnacentral:tRNA from 2 species
AGGAUUAUAGCUCAGCUGGUUAGAGCACCACCCUGAUAAGGUGGGGGUCGGUGGUUCGAAUCCACUUAAUCCUACCA